rnacentral:rRNA from 1 species
ACGAGGACCCAUUGGAGGGCAAGUCUGGUGCCAGCAGCCGCGGUAACUCCAGCUCCAAUAGCGUAUAUUAAAGUUGUUGCGGUUAAAAAGCUCGUAGUUGGAUUCCUGUCUUCGGCCGGGCGGGUAAGAAGUUGAUAAAACUGAUUACUUGUCUUUGAUUUCGCGGUGUCAAAGCCUCGAAGUCUUUAACGGUCGGACAAUACCGUCGGUGAGUCUGUUUCGAAAAGGCUGAAAGGCCCGCUCGGCAGACUCGUAAUCGACCGGGGUGCUCUUCAUCGGGUGUCCCGGCCGACCGACAUUUUUUU